rnacentral:rRNA from 1 species
GACGAACGCUGGCGGCGUGCCUAACACAUGCAAGUCGAGCGGGGAUUUAAGUGGAAGUUCUUCGGAAUGGAGAUUUAAAUUCUAGCGGCGGACGGGUGAGUAACGCGUGAACAAUCUGUCCCGGACAGGGGGAUAACACUUGGAAACAGGUGCUAAUACCGCAUAAGACCACGGCCUCGCAUGGGGCUGAGGUAAAAGGAGCAAUCCGGUUCGGGGUGAGUUCGCGUCCGAUUAGCUAGUUGGUGAGGUAACGGCCCACCAAGGCGACGAUCGGUAGCCGGCCUGAGAGGGUGAACGGCCACAUUGGAACUGAGAGACGGUCCAAACUCCUACGGGAGGAAGCAGUGGGGAAUAUUGGGCAAUGGGCGAAAGCCUGACCCAGCAACGCCGCGUGAGGGAAGAAGGUUUUCGGAUUGUAAACCUCUGUCCUAUGGGACGAAGGAAGUGACGGUACCAUAGGAGGAAGCCCCGGCUAACUACGUG